AGUCGUAACAAGGUAGCCGUAUCGGAAGGUGCGGCUGGAUCACCUCCUUUCUAAGGAUUUUAACGGAAUAUAAGACCUUGGGUCUUAUAAACAGAACGUUCCCUGUCUUGUUUAGUUUUGAAGGAUCAUUCGAUUCUUCGAGAUGUUGUUCUUUGAAAACUAGAUAACAGAAGUAAUUCACAUUCAAUUAGUAAUGCAAGAUAUCACGUAGUGAUUCUUUUUAACGGUUAAGUUAGAAAGGGCGCACGGUGGAUGCCUUGGCAC
rnacentral:misc_RNA from 1 species